rfam:Salmo salar isolate Sally breed double haploid chromosome ssa12, whole genome shotgun sequence.
UGGCUCAGUUGGUAGAGCAUGGUGUUUGCAACGCUAGGGUUGAGGGUUCAAUUCCCAC